CUUCUUUAUACCAUAUUCUUUUAGCAUUGGUAUUUCAGGGUCUUUUCUGUUUGGCCAUGGGCUGAAAUAGGGCUUGGUUUGAUACAUAUAAAGUUAGCUGUCUUUAGAGAGCAGAAUCCUAGACAGUGGACCAAGUAGUUUUUUGGUUUGUUUUUUUUUUUUUUUGAUCUUUUUAGAGUGACAAUUAUUUCAGUAAAGGUAAGCAUGUGGAAAUUCCAGUGCAUUUGUUGUGAGAAGUCUUAUUUGGCUUCAUUGGCAUUAACAGCAAUUGAAAAUGCAAAUAAUUGACUUUUUUUUGCAGUACAGUGAAUUGAACCAAGGGGUGCUCUACUACUGAGCUACAGUGGCCAGUCUGGUCUCAAAUUUGUAAUCCUCCUGCCUCAGCCUCCUGAGUAGCUGGAAUUAUAGGGUGUGUGCUACUGAUCCAAAUGAUUUUUUUUUUUUUUGGUACCAGAUAUUGAACCUAGGGGCACUUAACCACUGAGUCACAUCCCCAGCCCUUUUUAUUUUUUAUUUUAGUAUCAGGGAUUGAACCCAGGGGUGAGGCUUAACCACCAGUGCACAUCCCCGACUGUUUUUCUGUGUUUUAAUUUUGGGGGGGGUACCGGGGAUUGAACUUGGGGGCACUCAAACACUGAGCCACAUCCCCAGCCCUAUUUUUGUAUUUUAUUUAGAGACAGGGUCUCACUGAGUUAGUUGUUAGUACCUUGCUAAAUGGCUGAGGCUGGUUUGAGCUCGUGAACCUCCUGUGCUGCUGGAAUUACAGGCAUACACCACCAAGCCCAGCCAAAUGAUUGGCUUCUUAAGGCUUCCUGAGUCAUUUAAGUGUUUAGCAUCCAGGUUCCAAGAGGAUUUUACGUAGAGAGGGUGAAUAUUUUCAUAAAUUUGAACUCUUGAAACAUUGGUAUAGGAUUUUGAAAUCCUUCUAAGUAUUAAAAUGUAGAAAUUUAUUUUUAAGUCAUUUUAGGAAAGUGGUAGUGUGCUUUACCACUAAAUUAUGUCCCCAGCCCUUUUCUUAUUUUAUUUUGAAAUAAUGUCUCACUAAGUUACCCAGGCUGAGCUUGAACUUGUGAUCUUCCUGCCUCAACCUACUGAGUAGAUGGGAUUAUCUGUGUGUGCUUUUCUUAUUUGAUACAUAUGAGUUGUUCUGGCAUUCAGAUCUAAUUUUACAGAGAUAAUUG
rnacentral:lncRNA from 1 species